rnacentral:rRNA from 1 species
AUUGAACGCUGGCGGCAUGCUUUACACAUGCAAGUCGAACGGCAGCGCGGGGCAACCUGGCGGCGAGUGGCGAACGGGUGAGUAAUACAUCGGAACGUACCCAGAAGUGGGGGAUAACGUAGCGAACGUUACGCUAAUACCGCAUACGUUCUACGGAAGAACGUGGGGGACCUUCGGGCCUCAUGCUUUUGGAGCGGCAGAUGUCUGAUUAGCUAGUUGGUAGGGUAAAGGCCUACCAAGGCGACGAUCAGUAGCUGGUCUGAGAGGACGACCAGCCACACUGGGACUGAGACACGGCCCAGACUCCUACGGGAGGCAGCAGUGGGGAAUUUUGGACAAUGGGCGCAAGCCUGAUCCAGCAAUGCCGCGUGAGUGAAGAAGGCCUUCGGGUUGUAAAGCUCUUUUGUCAGGGAAGAAACGGUCGGGGUUAAUACCUCUGGCUAAUGACGGUACCUGAAGAAUAAGCACCGGCUAACUACGUGCCAGCCGCCGCCGUAA